GUAGUCUCGCACAGAUGCAUAUCAAUAAGCGGAGGAAAAGAAACUAACAAGGAUUCCCCUAGUAACGGCGAGUGGAGCGGGAAGAGCUCAAAUUUGAAAUCUUAAAGGGUUUCCCUUUACGAAUUGUAGUUUAAAGAAGUAUUUUCUGUUGAGGUUUUGGUAAAAGUUCUUUGGAAUAGGACAUCAUAGAGGGUGAGAAUCCCGUAUUUGACCUUUACUUUCAACUUUGUGAUACACUUUCAAAGAGUCGGAUUGUUUGGGAAUGCAGUCCAAAAUGGGUGGUAAAUUUCAUCUAAAGCUAAAUAUUGGCGAGAGACCGAUAGCGAACAAGUACCGUGAGGGAAAGAUGAAAAGAACUUUGAAAAGAGAGUUAAACAGUACGUGAAAUUGUCAAAAGGGAAGCGUUUGACACCAGUGUUGUUUUUCUGAAAAUCAAUUAAAGAACUGUUUAUGCUAAGCUGUUUAGACUUUAUCAGCUAUCUGUUUAGUUUUGAGCUUUUCUUUAAUGCACUUUUCAGUUAACAAGUCAACAUCAAUUUCUUUUGCUGUAAAAAAGCUUGAGGAAGGUGGCUUGAGAUUCGUCUUAAGUGUUUAUAGCCUCUUGCCUAUGCAGUCGGAGAGAUUGAGGUCUGCAGCGUAGAUCCUUCGGGGCUAAAUGCAUUUGUGCUAAGUUAUAGCAUUUUAUAGACAACUUGUUGACUAUGAUUUGUCUUGUAGCUUACUCGCUUAUGUUAUUUUACCUACGCUUAGGAUGUUGACAGCAGUAUAGACUGU
rnacentral:rRNA from 1 species